rfam:Phycomyces blakesleeanus NRRL 1555(-) unplaced genomic scaffold PHYBLscaffold_14, whole genome shotgun sequence.
GCCGCAAUAGCUCAGCUGGGAGAGCGUUAGACUGAAGAUCUAAAGGUCGUGUGUUCAAUCCACACUUGUGGCA